UACGGAGGAUGCGAGCGUUAUCCGGAUUUAUUGGGUUUAAAGGGUGCGUAGGCGGAUCGUUAAGUCAGUGGUCAAAUUGAGGGGCUCAACCCCUUCCCGCCAUUGAAACUGGCGAUCUUGAGUGGAAGAGAAGUAUGCGGAAUGCGUGGUGUAGCGGUGAAAUGCAUAGAUAUCACGCGGAACCCCGAUUGCGAAGGCAGCAUGCCGGCUUCCUACUGACGCUGAAGCACGAAAGCGUGGGGAUCGAACAGG
rnacentral:rRNA from 1 species